rnacentral:rRNA from 1 species
CACGUAGGGUGCGAGCGUUGUCCGGAAUUAUUGGGCGUAAAGAGCUCGUAGGCGGUGUGUCGCGUCGGCCGUGAAAACCUGCAGCUUAACUGUGGGCUUGCGGUCGAUACGGGCAUCACUGGAGUUCGGCAGGGGAGACUGGAAUUCCUGGUGUAGCGGUGAAAUGCGUAGAUAUCGGGAGGAACACCAGCGGCGAAGGCGGCUUUCUGGACCAAUACUGACGCUGAGACGCGAAAGCGUGGGGAGCAAACAGG